GACGAACGCUGGCGGCGUGCCUAAUACAUGCAAGUAGAACGCUGAAGGAGGAGCUUGCUUCUCUGGAUGAGUUGCGAACGGGUGAGUAACGCGUAGGUAACCUGCCUGGUAGCGGGGGAUAACUAUUGGAAACGAUAGCUAAUACCGCAUAAGAGUGGAUGUUGCAUGACAUUUGCUUAAAAGGUGCACUUGCAUCACUACCAGAUGGACCUGCGUUGUAUUAGCUAGUUGGUGGGGUAAGGGCUCACCAAGGCGACGAUACAUAGCCGACCUGAGAGGGUGAUCGGCCACACUGGGACUGAGACACGGCCCAGACUCCUACGGGAGGCAGCAGUAGGGAAUCUUCGGCAAUGGACGGAAGUCUGACCGAGCAACGCCGCGUGAGCGAAGAAGGUUUUCGGAUCGUAAAGCUCUGUUGUAAGAGAAGAACGAGUGUGAGAGUGGAAAGUUCACACUGUGACGGUAUCUUACCAGAAAGGGACGGCUAACUACGUGCCAGCAGCCGCGGUAAUACGUAGGUCCCGAGCGUUGUCCGGAUUUAUUGGGCGUAAAGCGAGCGCAGGCGGUUAGAUAAGUCUGAAGUUAAAGGCUGUGGCUUAACCAUAGUAGGCUUUGGAAACUGUUUAACUUGAGUGCAAGAGGGGAGAGUGGAAUUCCAUGUGUAGCGGUGAAAUGCGUAGAUAUAUGGAGGAACACCGGUGGCGAAAGCGGCUCUCUGGCUUGUAACUGACGCUGAGGCUCGAAAGCGUGGGGAGCAAACAGG
rnacentral:rRNA from 1 species